GCGUUGGUUUGGCUCAGUGGUUACUUCCGAUUAUUGAAAGAUCCCCCUCUCAUGAUCACCGGGAAACCGGCGACCGGAGAUCGAACCUCGGGCACUGUCCAACGUUUUC
rnacentral:vault_RNA from 1 species